UACAGAGGUCCCGAGCGUUGUUCGGAUUCACUGGGCGUAAAGGGUGCGUAGGUGGCGUGGUAAGUUUGAUGUGAAAGCUCAGGGCUUAACCCUGAAAUGGCAUUGAAUACUACUAUGCUGGAGGUUUGGAGGGGGGACUGGAAUUCUUGGUGUAGCAGUGAAAUGCGUAGAUAUCAAGAGGAACACCAGUGGCGAAGGCGAGUCCCUGGACAACACCUGACACUGAGGCACGAAAGCUAGGGGAGCAAACAGG
rnacentral:rRNA from 1 species